AUUGAACGCUGGCGGCAGGCCUAACACAUGCAAGUCGAGCGGAGCGGCGGACGGGGGAGUAAUGCCUAGGAAUCUGCCUGGUAGUGGGGGAUAACGUUCGGAAAUGGGCGCUAAUACUGCAUACUAUCAGAUGAGCCUAGGUUGGAUUAGCUAGUUGGUGGGGUAAAGGCCUACCAAGGCGACGAUCCGUAACUGGUCCGAGAGGAUGAUCAGUCACACUGGAACUGGGACACGGUCAAGACUCCUACGGGAGGCAGCAGUGGGGAAUAUUGGACAAUGGGCGGAAGCCUGAUACAGCCAUGCGGCGUGUGUGAAGAAGGUCUUCGGAUUGUAAAGUACUUUAAGUUGGGAGGCGUUACCAACAGAAUAAGCACCGGCUAACUUCGUGCCAGCAGCCGCGGUAAUAC
rnacentral:rRNA from 1 species